UACGGGGGGAGCAAGCGUUGUUCGGAUUUACUGGGCGUAAAGGGCGCGUAGGCGGCGUGACAAGUCACUUGUGAAAUCUCCGGGCUUAACUCGGAACGGUCAAGUGAUACUGUCGUGCUAGAGUACAGAAGGGGCAACUGGAAUUCUCGGUGUAGCGGUGAAAUGCGUAGAUAUCGGGAGGAACACCAGUGGCGAAAGCGGCUACCUGGCCCAUUCUUGACGCUGAGGCGCGAAAGCUAGGGGAGCAAACGGG
rnacentral:rRNA from 1 species